rnacentral:lncRNA from 10 species
AGUCACAUUCUUUGAGGAUAACACAAUAAAAUUAGAAAUGAAUAAUAAGUAUCUUCCUCCAAAGAAUACAUACAAGAAGUAAAAAUACACUUCUAAGUAACUAUUGAUGCAAAGAAAAUUUUAUAAUCAAAUGUAUAAAGUACUUAUAACUGAGUGAUGAAAAAUAUACAGUUCAAAUUUGUGAGAUGCAACUAAACAGUUCUUCAGAAAUUUAGUUCUAUAAGCUCUUAGAUACCAUAUUAAAAGAACUGAUAAAUAAAUCGUUAAAGCCUUAUAUCUGUGCAUUUUAAAAAGAAAAAACCCUCAGAAUUCAUAACCUGAGCAUUACAGUCAAGAUGUUAGAAAAAUAACAAAGUAUAUUUGAAAAUAUAGGAUGACGAAAAAUAGCAAAGAUAAUAUUAAUUGCAAAAAUAAGUUGUAUAGAGGAACAGAAGAAUAAAAUUCUGGUUAUUUGAAAGAAAGGUAAAAUAUACAAACCUAUCUUGAUAUUGAUGAAUAUACAAAAAAUAAUAGGAAAUUAAUUGUAUUUACAUUUUAAAGGCUGAAAGAACUACAAUAUAUUCAGUAAUGCAGAGCAGAUAAAAGUUUAAAAUAACAAAGAUUUGCAAAUAACGUGCUACGAGUAAACAUGGAUAUUUAAGUGAAAAACUAAAUUUCAGAAAAUAAAAUGCAUUUCCAAAUGACUUCAGAAAAACAGGCAUCUCAGUUCUACUCAGAAGAAAGUAACAGGUUUUGAUGGUUCUUUUGGAUUUUUCCAAAUCUUCAAGGAACAGAUAAACUCUAAUUUCAAAACUUACCUGUACUGUUUCAGGUCAAGGGAGAUGGUUAAUUGGACCCAGUUUCUAGGUAGAAUCUUCUGGCUUCCAGCAGACACCGAAGCUGAAGCAAAUAUAACUUCAUGCUACUCCAAGUGUGGCCUUCCAGAUUUUGUGGGUGAGAAAUCCGAACGCGGCUUAGCGGAUCACCUGUGACUCAGGUUGCAAUUGCAAUGGCAUUGUCCCCUGAAGCUGCAGUCUCCUCGAAGCUCAAGUAGGGAAGCAUCCACUUCCAGGCUCACUCAUGUGGCUCUUGGCAGGCCCCAGUCCCUCACUGAUUUGCUAGCUGGAGAAACCAAUUCCUGGCCACCUGGGCCUCUCAA